UACAGAGGGGGCAAGCGUUAUUCGGAAUUAUUGGGCGUAAAGGGCGCGUAGGCGGCGAUUCAAGUGACGGGUGAAAUCCCUCGGCUUAACCGAGGAACUGCCUGUCAGACUGGGUUGCUUGAGACCGGGAGAGGCGAGUGGAAUUCCCAGUGUAGCGGUGAAAUGCGUAGAUAUUGGGAGGAACACCAGUGGCGAAGGCGGCUCGCUGGACCGGAACUGACACUAAAACGCGACAGCAUGGGGAGCGAACGGG
rnacentral:rRNA from 1 species